rnacentral:tRNA from 1 species
CGCGGGAUAGAGUWMUKAAAGUGCUUACGCACCUCCGCACCCAGGACUUGGUUUUGUCGGACACAAC